rnacentral:rRNA from 1 species
UACGGAGGAGGCAAGCGUUUGAUGGGAUUAUUGGGCGUAAAGCGUACGUAGGUGUUUGGACAAGUCUGCUGUCAAAGGGUGGGUCUUAACCUCAUAGAGGCAGUGGAAACUGGCGAGCUAGAGUGCGGUAGGGGUAGGGGGAAUUCCCAGUGUAGCGGUGAAAUGCGUAGAGAUUGGUAAGAACAUCGGUUGGGAAAGCACCCUGCUGGGCCUGCACUGUCACUGAGGAACGAAAGCUAGGGCAGCGUAUGUG